AGGCCGUCCUCCCCAUACAGGAACUGGACCACGCUGCCAUCGCUGUCACGGACCGUCAGAUCGUACUGGAUGACCAGCCCCUCCAGGUGCUUGAUGAUACACCUGUAAGGAAACUCCCUGCUCAGUGCCCAUGGAAAACACCUCCCAGGGCGGUGAUGAGGGGAAGGAAGGGGACCACUGCUCCAGGAGAAACUCUAUGAUGGACCACUUCUAGUGCUCCAGGCCGUGGAUCUAACAUCCAGAGGCUACAAUUCCUGCCCGUUUUCCAGGAAGAGAGCACCUCAGUGGUCUGGCUGCCACACUCCCAAGGCCAGGUUUCCUAUUUAGCUCAGCUGAUAUGGCCGCUCCCUGUUGUUUGCUCUGCUGCAUCUCAGAGCUCUAAGGAACCAGCCAGCAUCCUUAGAAUCACAGGCAGGCAAAGAAGGGAAGAGAAGGAAGAAUUCUUAAACAGUCAGUGCAGACUGCCAAGCAAAAGGGUAGCAUCAGGAACUAAAUGCUGACAUGAUGCCCCUACCUAAAGACCUUUGUCUCCAGUCCUCUAUGGUAGCUGGCUCCUUCACCCACCUUUGCUUUCUGUCUUGGUCACAACUCAACGGCUACUGCAGUUUCCUAAGACCCUGUUUUCCAACCCAAGCUGGGAGAGUAGAGCUCAGUUCUAUCUACCACUUCCAUGAUGUUUGACUCAGAGCCCGGCAAGCUGGUGGCAAACACCAGCUCUCCUUUCCCCACACAGGGUGGUGGUGAUGUCAGUCUUUGGCCCGCUGCUAUGCUGGCCUUAGAGGGCCUAACAGCUGCCCCUCAUGUCCAUGUCUCUAGACUGCUUCUCUGAGCUUCAGAUCUUAUCGCUAAUGGCCCACUGACACAUCUACUUUGAACCGCCUCCUAUCAAACCGCAGCCAGCCGUAUCCUCCCCGCUGCUACAGUAUUCUGUUUCCUGUCAACUGUGCUGUGCUGCUUCUGAGGCCUGAAAACUUGAGUGAGCAGUUCUGUGCCUUCUCCACUUACCCACCUGAAGUCUGUGCUGUGCCUCCUCCUGCCUCAGCUCCCCACUGGCAGGUGAAUUCUGCAAGAUCACUCAGGAGUGCCCUCAACUCUUGUCCUCCUACACGGAUGCCAUGGAGUCAAGGAGGAAGUGAACACAACAUGGGCACACAUGGAGACAUUGAAAAGAGAUUAUAUCAUCUAAAGAAUGUACACAACAGGUUCAGGGUCUUGGGAUACUAACCCACCUAUCCGAGGUAUUUUGUUUUUUACCUUUGGAGAUAGCCAGAACGGCUGGUUUUGACAGCAGUGUCCACCAGGCCUUCUCGUCCUGCCAUGCAGUGGAAGAAGAACUCCUAUGGGGAAAGUGGGAGCCCGAUGUGGCAGUGAGUACCAUGCAGGGUCACCUUAUGCACCCUCUCCUAGCCAUGCAGAUUGUUCAUUUCCUAGAUUCUAGAAUCCUGGCUUUCAUAACCCCAUUAGCCCCUAAAGACUUGUGAUGCCCUGGGAUCGCUCUCUUCCUGCCUGAGGUGGAGGGACACGUGGAUCAAAAGCAACAGGAGCCAGAAGCCCUAAGUGCACUCCCUCAAGCAUCCUGAGGACACUGUAUGCCACUCUGCAGUGAGAAGCAAUGCUGGAGUUCACCGCUGUCCUGCAAAUCCCAGACCUGGAUCCUGUAGCUCAAAUAUUCCCUAAACUUUUCUGUUUAGUUUUGGGAUAAAGUCUUCAUAUGUC
rnacentral:lncRNA from 1 species